rnacentral:rRNA from 1 species
UACGGGGGGGGGCAAGCGUUGUUCGGAAUUACUGGGCGUAAAGGGCUCGUAGGCGGCCAACUAAGUCAGACGUGAAAUCCCUCGGCUUAACCGGGGAACUGCGUCUGAUACUGGAUGGCUGGAGUUUGGGAGAGGGAUGCGGAAUUCCAGGUGUAGCGGUGAAAUGCGUUAGAUAUCUGGAGGAACACCGGUGGCGAAGGCGGCAUCCUGGACCAACACUGACGCUGAUGAGCGAAAGCCAGGGGAGCAAACGGGG